rnacentral:SRP_RNA from 1 species
AAGUUGGUAUCAAUAUGGUGACCUCUCGGGAGCGGGGGACCACCAGGUUGCCUAAGGAGGGGUGAACUGGCCCAGCUCGGAAAUGGGGUAGGUCAAAACUCCCGUACUGAUCAG